UUAAUAAAGAUUGGAACAGGUGCCAAGGCCUAUUAUUGGGCUGGCCUAACAUGAGAAACCGGUUGAAAGCCGGUACGGUCCCGCCACUGUAACAGGGAGCGAUAUCACAUUUAUGUCACUGGAGAAAUCUGGGAAGGCGUGAUGGAGCGAUGAUCUGAAGUCAGGAGAACUGCCUGUUUGACAAUCACCGU
rnacentral:ncRNA from 2 species